UACAGAGGGGCAAGCGUUGUUCGGAAUUACUGGCGUAAGGGCGCGUAGGCGGCCUUCUAAGUCGAACGUGAAAUCCCUGGGCUCAACCCAGGAACUGCGUCCGAUACUGGAAGGCUUGAAUCCGGAGAGGAUGCGGAAUUCCAGGUGGUAGCGGUGAAUGACGUAGAUAUCUGGAGGAACACCGGUGGCGAAGGCGGCAUCCUGGACCGACAUUGACGCUGAGGCGCGAAAGCCAGGGAGCAACGGG
rnacentral:rRNA from 1 species